GACGUAGGGCGCGAGCGUUGUCCGGAUUUAUUGGGCGUAAAGAGCUCGUAGGCGGCUUGUCGCGUCGACUGUGAAAACCCGGGGCUUAACUGCGGGACUGCAGUCGAUACGGGCAGGCUAGAGUUCGGUAGGGGAGACUGGAAUUCCUGGUGUAGCGGUGAAAUGCGCAGAUAUCAGGAGGAACACCGGUGGCGAAGGCGGGUCUCUGGGCGGACACUGACGCUGAGGAGCGAAAGCGUGGGGAGCGAACAGG
rnacentral:rRNA from 1 species